UAUGUUCAUUUUCUACACCAUUUGUAUUUUUUUUGUUUUGUUUUUUGUUUCGCCAGCGCACUCACAAAGAGUAAUAACAAUAAUAAUAAUAAUAAUAACAAUAAAGAGGGGAGGAGAAGAAAAUAACGAAAUGAAACGAAACGAAAAGG
rnacentral:ribozyme from 13 species